rnacentral:rRNA from 1 species
UACAGAGGGGGCAAGCGUUGUUCGGAAUUACUGGGCGUAAAGGGCGCGUAGGCGGCCUGUUAAGUCGAACGUGAAAUCCCCGGGCUCAACCCGGGAACUGCGUCCGAUACUGGCAGGCUUGAAUCCGGGAGAGGGAUGCGGAAUUCCAGGUGUAGCGGUGAAAUGCGCAGAUAUCAGGAGGAACACCGGUGGCGAAGGCGGGUCUCUGGGCCGAUACUGACGCUGAGGAGCGAAAGCGUGGGGAGCGAACAGG